rnacentral:rRNA from 1 species
UACGUAGGGCGCAAGCGUUGUCCGGAAUUAUUGGGCGUAAAGAGCUCGUAGGUGGCUUGUCGCGUCUGUCGUGAAAGCCCGGGGCUUAACUCCGGGUCUGCGGUGGAUACGGGCAGGCUAGAGGCAGGUAGGGGAGAAUGGAAUUCCCGGUGUAGCGGUGAAAUGCGCAGAUAUCGGGAGGAACACCGGUGGCGAAGGCGGUUCUCUGGGCCAUUACUGACGCUGAGGAGCGAAAGCGUGGGGAGCGAACAGG